UACAGAGGUCUCAAGCGUUGUUCGGAUUCACUGGGCGUAAAGGGCUCGUAGGCGGCCAACUAAGUCAGACGUGAAAUCCCUCGGCUUAACCGGGGAACUGCGUCUGAUACUGGAUGGCUUGAGUUUGGGAGAGGGAUGCGGAAUUCCAGGUGUAGCGGUGAAAUGCGUAGAUAUCUGGAGGAACACCGGUGGCGAAGGCGGCAUCCUGGACCAACACUGACGCUGAGUGAGCGAAAGCCAGGGGAGCAAACGGG
rnacentral:rRNA from 1 species